GGUACUGAAGAUUUAAUACAGACUUAUGGGGAAAUAAAACCAGACGUUGUAAAGUUUGAAUAGUGAAAAAGAAACAUCACACAAACAGGGCACCAGAAUGGAUUUGUUCCAAGUAUUUUGCCCAGACUUCAAGGAUCAUGGAUGUACCCAGGUGGGCUGGCCAGGAUUUCUUAUUGUGGCUAUAGAGGGUGAGAGACACUGUCUUUUGAGUUGGUAUCAUGCUUCCUAGCUUCUUCCUAUGUUAGUUUCCAUGAUGGCUUUGGAUGUACUUUUUAUGUCUCUUUGGAACUGACCUCAAUCAGUAUUUUUUGUUGUUGUUUCCAUGUUGUUUUUGUUGUUGUUGUUGUUUGCUAUUUGCUGUUUUUAUGUUUUGUUUGUUUGUUUCUCC
rnacentral:lncRNA from 1 species